rnacentral:rRNA from 1 species
UACGUAGGGCGCAAGCGUUUAUCCGGAAUUAUUGGGCGUAAAGAGCUCGUAGGCGGUCUGUCGCGUCGGAUGUGAAAAUCCAGGGCUCAACCCUGGACCUGCAUUCGAUACGGGCAGACUAGAGUUCGGCAGGGGAGACUGGAAUUCCUGGUGUAGCGGUGAAAUGCGCAGAUAUCAGGAGGAACACCGGUGGCGAAGGCGGGUCUCUGGGCCGAAACUGACGCUGAGGAGCGAAAGCGUGGGGAGCAAACAGG